AUACGUAGGGGGCGAGCGUUGUCCGGAAUUACUGGGCGUAAAGGGUGCGCAGGCGGCGCCUUAAGUCAGAUGUGAAAUAUCCAUGCUUAACGUGGAGGGUGCAUUUGAAACUGGGGUGCUUGAGUGCAGGAGAGGAAAGUGGAAUUCCUAGUGUAGCGGUGAAAUGCGUAGAUAUUAGGAGGAACACCAGUGGCGAAGGCGACUUUCUGGACUGUAACUGACGCUGAGGCACGAAAGCGUGGGGAGCAAACAGGAUUAGAUACCCUGGUAGUCCACGCCGUAAACGAUGGAUACUAGGUGUAGGGGGCGAUAGCCUUCUGUGCCGCAGCAAACGCAAUAAGUAUCCCGCCUGGGGAGUACGAUCGCAAGGUUGAA
rnacentral:rRNA from 1 species